rnacentral:rRNA from 1 species
UUAGUUGCAGGGCAGACGGGUGAGUAACACGUUGGAAUCUGCCCCGAACUCAGGGAUAACAUCGAGAAAUCGGUGAUAAUACCGGAUAGUCUCCGACUCGUCGGAGUAAAGAUUUAUCGGUUCGGGAGGAGCCUGCGUAGUAUCAGCUUGUUGGUGAGGUAAAAGCUCACCAAGGCUAUGACGCUUAGCUGGUCUGAGAGGAUGAUCAGUCACAAUGGAACUGAGACACGGUCCAUACUCC